rnacentral:rRNA from 1 species
UGGGGAAUCUUGGACAAUGGGGGCAACCCUGAUCCAGCCAUGCCGCGUGAGUGAUGAAGGCCUUAGGGUCGUAAAGCUCUUUCGCCUGUGAAGAUAAUGACGGUACCUAGUAAAGAAGUCCCGGCUAACUCCGUGCCAGCAGCCGCGGUAAUACGGAGGGGGCUAGCGUUGUUCGGAAUUACUGGGCGUAAAGCGCGCGUAGGCGGACUGAUCAGUCAGGGGUGAAAUCCCGGGGCUCAACCCCGGAACUGCCUUUGAUACUGUCAGUCUUGAGUCCGGAAGAGGCGAGUGGAAUACCGAGUGUAGAGGUGAAAUUCGUAGAUAUUUUGGGAGGAACACCAGUGGCGAAGGCGGCUCACUGGCUCGAUACUGACGCUGAGGUGCGAAAGUGUGGGGAGCAAACAGGAUUAGAUACCCUGGUAGUCCACACCGUAAACGAUGAAUGCCAGUCGUCGGUAGCAUGCUAUUCGGUGACACACCUAACGGAUUAAGCAUUCCGCCUGGGAGUACGGUCGCAAGAUUAAAAGCUCAAAUG